UACGUAGGGUGCGAGCGUUAAUCGGAAUUACUGGGCGUAAAGCGUGCGCAGGCGGUUCUGUAAGACCGAUGCGAAAUCCCCGGGCUUAACCUGGGAACUGCACUGGUGACUGCAGGGCUAGAGUGUGUCAGAGGGAGGUGGAAUUCCGCGUGUAGCAGUGAAAUGCGUAGAGAUGCGGAGGAACACCGAUGGCGAAGGCAGCCUCCUGGGAUAACACUGACGCUCAGGCACGAAAGCGUGGGGAGCAAACAGG
rnacentral:rRNA from 1 species